AAAUACGAUCAACAGAAUUAAUGCAUUGGAAUCUAUCAAAACUCUAAAGUUAAACGUGCUAGGAUGAGAGUAAUACUAAGAUGUGAAAUCUCGGUAUUGCAUCUC
rnacentral:rRNA from 1 species